CGAGCGGCGGACGGGUGAGUAACACGUGGGUAACCUGCCCAAGAGACUGGGAUAACACCUGGAAACAGAUGCUAAUACCGGAUAACAACACUAUACGCUUGUCUAGAGUUUGAAGGAGGGGGGUGCUACCACUCUUGGAUGGACCUGCGGUGCAUUAGCUAGUUGGUAAGGUAACGGCUUACCAUGGCAAUGAUGCAUAGUCGAUUUUAGAGACUGAUCGGCCAUUUUGGGAGUGAGACACGGCCCCAAAUUCCUACGGGAGGCAGCAGUAGGGAAUCUUCCACAAUGGGCGAAAGUCUGAUGGAGCAUCGCCGCGUGAGUGAAGAAGGGUUUCGGCUCGUAAAGCUCUGUUGGUAGUGAAGAAAGAUAGAGGUAGUAACUGGCCUUUAUUUGACGGUAAUUACUUAGAAAGUCACGGCUAACUACGUGCCAGCAGCCGCGGUAAUACGUAGGUGGCAAGCGUUGUCCGGAUUUAUUGGGCGUAAAGCGAGUGCAGGCGGUUCAAUAAGUCUGAUGUGAAAGCCUUCGGCUCAACCGGAGAAUUGCAUCAGAAACUGUUGAACUUGAGUGCAGAAGAGGAGAGUGGAACUCCAUGUGUAGCGGUGGAAUGCGUAGAUAUAUGGAAGAACACCAGUGGCGAAGGCGGCUCUCUGGUCUGCAACUGACGCUGAGGCUCGAAAGCAUGGGUAGCGAACAGGAUUAGAUACCCUGGUAGUCCAUGCCGUAAACGAUGAGUGCUAAGUGUUGGGAGGUUUCCGCCUCUCAGUGCUGCAGCUAACGCAUUAAGCACUCCGCCUGGGGAGUACGCCCGCAAGGUUGAAAACUCAAAGGAAUUGACGGGGGCCCGCACAAGCGGUGGAGCAUGUGGUUUAAUUCGAAGCAACGCGAAGAACCUUACCAGGUCUUGACAUCCAGUGCAAACCUAAGAGAUUAGGUGUUCCCUUCGGGGACGAUGAGACAGGUGGUGCAUGGCUGUCGUCAGCUCGUGUCGUGAGAUGUUGGGUUAAGUCCCGCAACGAGCGCAACCCUUGUCAUUAGUUGCCAUCAUUAAGUUGGGCACUCUAAUGAGACUGCCGGUGACAAACCGGAGGAAGGUGGGGAUGACGUCAAGUCAUCAUGCCCCUUAUGACCUGGGCUACACACGUGCUACAAUGGACGGUACAACGAGAAGCGAACCUGCGAAGGCAAGCGGAUCUCUUAAAGCUGUUCUCAGUUCGGACUGUAGGCUGCAACUCGCGUACACGAAGCUGGAAUCGCUAGUAAUCGCGGAUCAGCACGCCGCGGUGAAUACGUUCCCGGGCCUUGCUCACAAGGCCCGUCA
rnacentral:rRNA from 1 species